ACGGAAGGCAGCAGUGAGGAAUAUUGGUCAAUGGUCGAGAGACUGAACCAGCCAAGUAGCGUGAAGGAUGACUGCCCUAUGGGUUGUAAACUUCUUUUGUUCGGGAAUAAAGUGCCGCACGUGUGCGGUUUUGUAUGUACCGUUCGAAUAAGCAUCGGCUAAUUCCGUGCCAGCAGCCGCGGUAAUACGGAAGAUGCGAGCGUUAUCCGGAUUUAUUGGGUUUAAAGGGAGCGUAGGCGGCCUGUUAAGUCCGCGGUCAAAUGUCAGGGCCCAACCUUGGCAUGCCGUGGAUACUGGCGGGCUUGAAUGUGCACAAGGAAGGUGGAAUUCGUCGUGUAGCGGUGAAAUGCUUAGAUAUGACGAAGAACUCCGAUUGCGUAGGCAGCUGACCAAGCCGAUAAUGACGCUCAUGCACGAAAGUGCGGGGAUCGAACAGGAUUAGAUACCCUGGUA
rnacentral:rRNA from 1 species